rnacentral:rRNA from 1 species
UACGGAGGGUGCAAGCGUUACCCGGAAUCACUGGGCGUAAAGGGCGUGUAGGCGGCUGAGUCAGUCCGACUUUAAAGACCGAAGCUCAACUUCGGGCCUGGGUUGGAUACUGCUGAGCUAGACGGAUGGAGAGGUCACUGGAAUUCCUGGUGUAGCGGUGGAAUGCGUAGAUACCAGGAGGAACACCAACGGCGAAGGCAGGUGACUGGACAUUUUGUGACGCUGAGGCGCGAAAAGUGUGGGGAGCAAACCGG